UACCAGCACCCCGAGUGGUCGGGACGAUUAUUGGGCCUAAAGCAUCCGUAGCCGGUUCUACAAGUCUUCCGUUAAAUCCACCUGCUUAACAGAUGGGCUGCGGAGGAUACUAUGGAGCUAGGAGGCGGGAGAGGCAAGCGGUACUUAGUGGGUAGGGUAAAAUCCGUUGAUCCAUUGAAGACCACCAGUGGCGAAGGCGGCUUGGCCAGAACGCACUCGACGGUGAGGGAUGAAAGCUGGGGGAGCAAACCGGG
rnacentral:rRNA from 1 species